rnacentral:sRNA from 1 species
UGCUUGGGAAACUGCUGGACUCGGUACCUGAACGUUUAGAGACAUUAGUUGCCCUACUGACUGAGUGGACGGCGAAAUAUCCAUACGAUUAUCGUGACGAGCGCAUGAUGAAUCAUUUAAAAGGUGCUGCACUUCACAUUUAGAAGCCAUAGUCUUCCAAAUACUAAACGCCUUACUUAACCGACUGACAGAGUUGGAGCAAUAUGAGGUCGAUCUGCGCGCCUGCCAGACCAAUAGAACCGAUAUGAAUUGAUGCUGGCAUACGAG